UACAGAGGGUGCAAGCGUUAAUCGGAGUUACUGGGCGUAAAGGGCGCGUAGGCGGUUAAAUAAGUGAGAUGUGAAAUCCCUGGGCUUAACCUGGGAAUGGCAUCUUAUACUGUGUAGCUAGAGUACUGUAGAGGGUAGUGGAAUUUCCGGUGUAGCGGUGAAAUGCGUAGAGAUCGGAAGGAACACCCGUGGCGAAGGCGGCUACCUGGACAGAUACUGACGCUGAGGCGCGAGAGCGUGGGGAGCAAACAGG
rnacentral:rRNA from 1 species